GGUUGCCUUGCAGAUUCUGACUCCAGGGUCUGGGCGGGGCCUGAGAAGGCGCAUUUCUGACCCGCUCCUAGGGGAUGUUGAUGGGGACGGUCCCAGGGCCACCCUUUAAGUAGAAGUUAGUGAAUGGACAGAACCGAGCUUUGAAGCCAGCCACUCUGACCCCCAAAUCCGGCCUUCUUCACGGUCCUCUGCUAGCUCAAGAGCCCAGCAGGACAGGAAACAGGUCCCGCAGGGCCUUUAGCACUACAAGGGGUCCCUGUAGCCUGGGCGGGAGAUUCUAUUGACGAUUCCUUAUUUUAUCUUAAACUUGUAUGGCUAUCUUGCAUUUGACACCACACACUUUUCUUAUAUAAAAAUAACACUCCCUUCUUGACUCUUCAUCUUCUUCCUAUAUUUCAGUGAGACAGGUGCCAUAGGAAGCCGCGACUUUCCAUGUGAUCCCUCUAGUGAGGGGUGCCCCUCUGGGAUCAUGGGGCUGAGCCACAAUUCCCCCGCUUUUCUGAGACCAGACUGCCCACUUGGAUCAGGGGAUCAAGCUGACAAUUUGCCUUGGAUCUCAGAAGACUUUGGCCUUGAAAGCUUUGACCCAGCUUCUGGGCCCCUUUGCUGUUUGGAACGAGCUUCGACUUCAGAGGGGCGGCUCAGGGGGGCCGCCCUGGACAGGAUGGCGAAGAGGCAGUGACCUAUGGCUUUUGCAUGGACGUGGUGGGAGGGUCCUGUGGACAGGAUGUAAAGCCGAAGGAUCCGACCUGGGGGGCGGGAGGGGAUCUCGGGUCAAUGAAUGAUCAGUGACUCAAGUCCUCAGAAAUCCUUUGGUUUGGUGUCAAGAGAGCAGCGGAGGGUGGAGAUGAUGGGCCAUUCUGACCCCUUCCUCGGAGGAUCCCGGGGGAGGCGGGUCCGACUGGGCUGUGGUCAAGGGGAGGCCGGUGCCUGGGAAGGAGGGGCAUCUCUUCCAGGCGCAGUUCCUUCUGAUCUGGAGCCCCCUGGGGCUCUCACCUGGAUAGCACGGGACCCAGUGGUAGGGGUCACAAGGGCAGUGUAAGAUCAAGGUGUGAGACCCCCCACCUUGGGUCACUGGGUCUUCUGUCGGGUACCUGGGGAGCCCUGGGAAUGGGAUCCAGGACUCCGAGUUCACCUCCUAGACAGGGUGCUGGGCAGGGAGGGAGGAGAGGAGGUGCGACUCCAGCCCUGGUGGGGUCGGGCCACAGUGUGACCUGCCUGGGGUGCGCUCAGGAAGCCGGUGACCCUGCCUGGGGUGCCCAUUCUGCUUGAGCACGGGCUCUCCUCCAGCUACCCAGACCCCAGACAUCUAAGGCCUCCUGGACGCGGCCAGCUGUCUUUCUCCCAAACAGGAGGUGACCUGAGCCAUGUCACAGCAAGUGCUUCCUGAAGAAAGCGAGGCUCUGCCCCGUGAGCCAUCCGGGCAAGGACCCAAUCAGCGGGCACUCGGGGGAGGACACUCAGCUCAUCUCCACGACAACGGUGAACCCUGCAGCCCACCAGUGCAACCCGGAGUGGUGGUCGCAGGGACACGGGGGACACAAGACGCUGGUGCCUGUGACCAGAACUCGCCAAGCCAGGUGAGAGGAGGAUGCUGGGAACAGAGAAAAGGAACUUCCACCUCAACUCUGAGCCCAGCUGGAAAACCACAGGGCAGGUGCUCUGAAGUUCCAAACAGGCACUACUGCUUCCUGUGGGCUCAGUGCCACCCAGCACCUCCCUGGGGGAAUGUGUGUGAGGACAUUUAUUAUUAGUUCUUCAACUAAAUCCGAAUCUCCUGCUGGGUGAUGGCUACCCAUUGUCUCAUUUAACCCUAACAACUACCCUGAAAUCAGGACUCCUGUUCAUUCACCACCAGGGAGGAGACUGAGGCUCAGAGAGGUGAAGCGACUUGCUCAAGGUCACACAGCAAAGAAGCACCAUCCAGAUCAAGCCUGCCUGAUUCCAGCCCCUGCUCUUUCCCAGGCACCCGCAGCCUCACCCUAGAUACCUCCCGGGGCCUGGGACUCAGCAGGGGCCCAAGUGAAUGACUGUUGAACUAAAUUGAAAUCCGAAAACCACCCUCACAACGUGAUAAAGGGCUCCUUUUCCUUUGCAGAACACAUCGGAGUUUGUGGAAGACUCCUGCGCCCCCGUCCCCUCCUGGGGUCCCACGGCUGUUUGAGAAAUAUUUAUGGUGGUGACGGGAGAGUUUUUAUUCUUAAAAUAAAUCAUUUACAAUGUCUCUGGCUAA